rnacentral:rRNA from 1 species
GCUUCCGCGUCUACCAUGCAAGUCGAGCGGUAGCACAGAGAGCUUGCUCUCGGGUGACGAGCGGCGGACGGGUGAGUAAUGUCUGGGAAACUGCCUGAUGGAGGGGGAUAACUACUGGAAACGGUAGCUAAUACCGCAUAACGUCGCAAGACCAAAGUGGGGGACCUUCGGGCCUCAUGCCAUCAGAUGUGCCCAGAUGGGAUUAGCUAGUAGGUGGGGUAACGGCUCACCUAGGCGACGAUCCCUAGCUGGUCUGAGAGGAUGACCAGCCACACUGGAACUGAGACACGGUCCAGACUCCUACGGGAGGCAGCAGUGGGGAAUAUUGCACAAUGGGCGCAAGCCUGAUGCAGCCAUGCCGCGUGUGUGAAGAAGGCCUUCGGGUUGUAAAGCACUUUCAGCGGGGAGGAAGGCGUUAAGGUUAAUAACCUUGGCGAUUGACGUUACCCGCAGAAGAAGCACCGGCUAACUCCGUGCCAGCAGCCGCGGUAAUACGGAGGGUGCAAGCGUUAAUCGGAAUUACUGGGCGUAAAGCGCACGCAGGCGGUCUGUCAAGUCGGAUGUGAAAUCCCCGGGCUCAACCUGGGAACUGCAUUCGAAACUGGCAGGCUAGAGUCUUGUAGAGGGGGGUAGAAUUCCAGGUGUAGCGGUGAAAUGCGUAGAGAUCUGGAGGAAUACCGGUGGCGAAGGCGGCCCCCUGGACAAAGACUGACGCUCAGGUGCGAAAGCGUGGGGAGCAAACAGGAUUAGAUACCCUGGUAGUCCACGCCGUAAACGAUGUCGAUUUGGAGGUUGUGCCCUUGAGGCGUGGCUUCCGGAGCUAACGCGUUAAAUCGACCGCCUGGGGAGUACGGCCGCAAGGUUAAAACUCAAAUGAAUUGACGGGGGCCCGCACAAGCGGUGGAGCAUGUGGUUUAAUUCGAUGCAACGCGAAGAACCUUACCUGGUCUUGACAUCCACAGAACUUUCCAGAGAUGGAUUGGUGCCUUCGGGAACUGUGAGACAGGUGCUGCAUGGCUGUCGUCAGCUCGUGUUGUGAAAUGUUGGGUUAAGUCCCGCAACGAGCGCAACCCUUAUCCUUUGUUGCCAGCGGUUCGGCCGGGAACUCAAAGGAGACUGCCAGUGAUAAACUGGAGGAAGGUGGGGAUGACGUCAAGUCAUCAUGGCCCUUACGACCAGGGCUACACACGUGCUACAAUGGCAUAUACAAAGAGAAGCGACCUCGCGAGAGCAAGCGGACCUCAUAAAGUAUGUCGUAGUCCGGAUUGGAGUCUGCAACUCGACUCCAUGAAGUCGGAAUCGCUAGUAAUCGUAGAUCAGAAUGCUACGGUGAAUACGUUCCCGGGCCUUGUACACACCGCCCGUCACACCAUGGGAGUGGGUUGCAAAAGAAGUAGGUAGCUUAACCUUCGGGAGGGCGCUACCACUU